rnacentral:lncRNA from 1 species
GGACACGAUGAUUUUUGAGGGCGGUGGAAAUGAUACGUUUCUAGAUUAGGAUUUUCUAAGUAUGAAAAUAUAUAUUAUUAUAUUAGGAUAUUUUAGUUAUUUCCAAUAAAGUGUUAUUAGGGUUGGUUUAUAUAAAAGUGUAUCUUUUAGGGUUUGAAAUAAUAAGAAGAAAUUGGCCGUCUUGUUCUAUCUUCCUUCUCAUUCCCUUCCCCCUUAUUUAUCUUUAUCUCUUUAAUAUCUCUCUCUUUAGGAGGUUCGAUCCUCUCGAAGUUAUUGUUUAUUCCUAUUGAUAUGAUAGGAUCGUAUCACAGAUCGAGUUUCUCCUAGAUAGAGUCUGCAGCAGCAAUGCGGCGGAAGUGGGGUAGACGGCUUAUGGUCACAAAGAAGGAUGCAAGAGAGUGGGAGAUGGAAGAGGGAGAGGAAGAGUACAGAAAAAAUCUGAGAAGUGGAAUGGGGGAUGUACAGGAGAGAAAUGGGAGAAUGUAUUGAGUCUCUGAGAAGUAGAGUGGGCCAAACAUGAUCAAGG